CCGGCUGCGGAUCUGGGAAGCGCCUCUUCACGGCACUGGGAUCCGCAUCUGCCUGGGAUCAUCAAGCCCUAGAAGCUGGGUUUCUUUAAAUUAGGGCUGCCGUUUUCUGUUUCUCCCUGGGCUGCGGAAAGCCAGAAGAUUUUAUCUAGCUUAUACAAGGCUGCUGGUGUUCCCUCUUUUUUUCCACGAGGGUGUUUUUGGCUGCAAUUGCAUGAAAUCCCAAUGGUGUAGACCAGUGGCGAUGGAUCUAGGAGUUUACCAACUGAGACAUUUUUCAAUUUCUUUCUUGUCAUCCUUGCUGGGGACUGAAAACGCUUCUGUGAGACUUGAUAAUAGCUCCUCUGGUGCAAGUGUGGUAGCUAUUGACAACAAAAUCGAGCAAGCUAUGUGAAAAGCCAUUUGAUGUAUGCGGUCAGAGAAGAAGUGGAGGUCCUCAAAGAGCAAAUCAAAGAACUAAUAGAGAAAAAUUCCCAGCUGGAGCAGGAGAACAAUCUGCUGAAGACACUGGCCAGUCCUGAGCAGCUUGCCCAGUUUCAGGCCCAGCUGCAGACUGGCUCCCCCCCUGCCACCACCCAGCCACAGGGCACCACACAGCCCCCCGCCCAGCCAGCAUCGCAGGGCUCAGGACCAACCGCAUAGCUGCCUAUGCCCCCGCAGAACUGGCUGCUGCGUGUGAACUGAACAGACGGAGAAGAUGUGCUAGGGAGAAUCUGCCUCCACAGUCACCCAUUUCAUUGCUCGCUGCGAAAGAGACGUGAGACUGACAUAUGCCAUUAUCUCUUUUCCAGUAUUAAACACUCAUAUGCUUAUGGCUUGGAGAAAUUUCUUAGUUGGGUGAAUUAAAGGUUAAUCCGAGAAUUAGCAUGGAUAUACCGGGACCUCAUGCAGCUUGGCAGAUAUCUGAGAAAUGGUUUAAUUCAUGCUCAGGAGCUGUGUGCCUUUCCAUCCCUUCCGGCUCCCUACCCCUCACUUCCAAGGGUUCUCUCUCCUGCUUGCGCUUAGUGUCCUACAUGGGGUUGUGAAGCGAUGGAGCUCCUCACUGGACUCGCCUCUCUCCUCUCCUCCCCCCAGGAGGAACUUGAAAGGAGGGUAAAAAGACUAAAAUGAGGGGGAACAGAGUUCACUGUACAAAUUUGACAACUGUCAC
rnacentral:lncRNA from 1 species